rnacentral:rRNA from 1 species
AAAGGAAUAGACGGGGGCCCGCACAAGCGGAGGAACAUGUGGUUUAAUUCGAUGAUACGCGAGGAACCUUACCCGGGUUUAAAUGUAGAUUGCAUAGAGUAGAGAUAUUCUUUUCCUUUACGGGACCAUCUACAAGGUGCUGCAUGGUUGUCGUCAGCUCGUGCCGUGAGGUGUCGGGUUAAGUCCCAUAACGAGCGCAACCCUUGCUACCAGUUACCAGCAUGUAAAGAUGGGGACUCUGGUAGGACUGCCGCCGUAAGGCGUGAGGAAGGAGGGGAUGACGUCAAAUCAGCACGGCCCUUACAUCCGGGGCGACACACGUGUUACAAUGGCCGGUACAGAGGGCAGCUACAUAGCGAUAUGAUGCUAAUCUCGAAAGCCGGUCGUAGUUCGGAUUGGAGUCUGCAACUCGACUCCAUGAAGCUGGAUUCGCUAGUAAUCGCAUAUCAGCCAUGAUGCGGUGAAUACGUUCCCGGGCCUUGUACACACCGCCCGU